AUGAUAUCCUAAGAAUACUUAAUUUCAAGUGGAGUUAGUGGCUGCAUUUUUCCAGACUAAUCCUGCUGCUCACGAGAUAGAAAUCCUGGACGCUGGUCUCCAGGUAGUAACUCUUGCAGAAAUCAACUAUGAGCUGCUAGAGUGACUAAAUAGUAAUGAUAUCCUAAGAAUAGUAAUGAUAUCCUAAGAAUACUUAACGUCAAGUGGAUUCGGUGGUGGGUGCAUUUUUAUGAGCAAACACAUGCUUUCACAUGGUGGCCUCGGCAAAGUUUCUCACAUGGUGAAGGAAUAUUUUGUAUGAAUGCCAAAGUGGCCGACCAACAGCAUCGAGGUGGGCGGAAAGUGAACACGCUCUCGUCAACUUGACUUUGAUCUGAAUCUGUACAACCCCACACCAUUUCUCCUCUGCUCUGCAUAGCACCUGUGUUUCCUGUGGCUGUGUGUGUGUUUUCUUGUGAGCUGGGAGCUGUGAGGGCGCCGCUCCGUUCCACGUUCCCCUCUCACCGCGUCUCUCCGCCGUCUCGGUUCGGGCCUCCGCACGCGGCCUCACAGUGCGGCUGCUCGGUUGCCGUCGAUGCCGCCGGCUGGGUCUCCGGCGUGCUUCCCCAACAGGCUCCUCCACCUCUCGGUGGUUGUGUUUCCCUGUGUCGGCGCGUGAGCUCUUUCAUUUGGGAGUUGUGAAGGACUGAAACGAGAGCAACAAUGGCAGAGUUUGUAGUCAGGCCGCUGGUAUCCAUGUUGACAAACAAGGCGUCCAGCUACCUGCUGGACCAGUACAAGGUGAUGAAUGGCAUGGAGGAGCAGCGUGAGACCCUCAAGCGCAAGCUUCUGGCGAUCUUGGAUGUCAUCCAAGAUGCGGAGGAGAAAGGAGCUUCCCGGCCUGGAGUGAGUGCUUGGCUUGAAGCGCUCAAGAAGGCAUCGUAUGAGGCGAAGGAUGUCUUCGACGAGUUCAAGUACGAGGCCCUCCGGCGUGACGCCAAGAAGAAGGGACACUACAAGAAGCUUGGCUUUGACAUCGUAAGCCUCUUCCCUGCUCACAACCCCAUUGUAUUUCGUUACAGGAUGGGCAAGAAGUUGUGCAGGAUUGUGCGCAAAAUUGAGGGCCUUGUCAGAGAGAUGAAUGACUUCGGAUUCAACAAAACUCAGCAAGCACCACCAUCCAAGCAGUGGCGCAACACAGAUUCCAUAAUAAUUGACUCUGAGAAGGAUAUUGUCAGCAGGUCCAGAAACGAAGAGAAGAAGAAGAUCGUGGAUAUAUUGAUUGAUCAAGCUGGCGACAGGGAUCUCAUCGUCCUUCCCAUUGUUGGAAUGGGCGGGCUGGGCAAGACCACCUUUGCUCAGCUUGUCUACAAUGACCCUAUAAUCAAGGAGCAUUUCAAGCUCCAGAGGUGGUGUUGUGUGUCAGAUGAUUUUGAUGUUGUGAAGAUUGCAAACAUCAUCUGUGAGACCAACGAGAUCCAUCGUGAAAAGGCAUUGCAGAACCUUCAGAAAGAAGUAAGUGGGAAGAGAUACCUCAUUGUGUUGGAUGAUGUAUGGAAUGAAGAUGCUGAUAAGUGGGAAAAACUGAAAACCUGCCUGAAGCACGGUGGGAAGGGGAGUGCAAUAUUGACGACCACUCGCAAUGUGCAAGUAGCACGAAUUAUGAAGAUGUGUAUUGCUGAUAGCCAUAAUCUCAGAAAUCUAGAUAAAGUAUUUCUGAAGGAAAUAUUUGAGAAUAGAGCAUUCUGUUUGCAAAAGCCAAAGGCUGCUGAGCUAAGCGAUGUGGUUGAUAAGAUUAUGGAGAGAUGUGGAGGCUCUCCUUUAGCUGCCAAAGCCUUUGGGUCUAUGUUGAGUAACAAGACUAGCAUGAAAGAAUGGACAGACAUACUAGCCAGAAGCAACACUUGCAACGAUGGCACAGAAACUUUUCUUGUACUCAAGCUCAGCUAUGAUGACUUGCCAUCACACUUGAAACAAUGCUUUGCUUUUUGUGCUAUAUUUCCCAAAGACUAUGAGAUUGAUGUUGAAACAUUAAUUCAGCUAUGGAUGGCACAUGAUUUCAUACCACUGAGAGAAGGUGACAAUCUUGAGAAGGUAGGUAGAGAAAUUUUUGAUGAGUUAACUUGGAGGUCAUUCUUUCAAGAUGUCAAACAAAACCCUCGAAGAAAAUGGCAGGGGGAGCUCCGUCCUAGAACAAUAUGCAAGAUACAUGAUCUUAUGCAUGACAUUGCCUUGUCUGUUAUGGGAAAAGAUUGUCUUACUAUAGUUGAUAGGCCUAAUGAAAAGGAGUUACUGUCCACUGGUCCUACACGCUACUUGUUCUCAUCAUAUUGGUAUACCGGAACUCUGUUGGAUGAUUAUCUGAUGAAACACUCUCCCGCUCUCCAGACACUGCUGUAUCCAUAUGCCUACACCAGUGACUCAGCACCACACUUGUCGAAGUACAAUCAUCUGCGAGCACUGCAACUCUUCAGAUUGAGAAAACUUCCACUCCAACCAAGGCACUUACAGCACCUGAGGUAUCUUGAUCUCUCAAAUAACAUAUUGAUCGAAGAGCUUCCCGAGGAAAUAAGCAUACUGUAUAAUCUACAGACUCUUAACCUUUGUAAAUGCAUACGUCUUGGUCGACUUCCAGAGGAUAUGAAGUGUAUGGAAAAUCUCCGUCACCUCUAUACAAAUGGAUGCUCAUCAUUGAAGUGCAUGCCUCCAGGCCUCGGGCAACUCACUUCUCUACAGACUCUAACAUAUUUUGUGGUGAGCUCUAGUCCUGGUUGCAGUACUAUUAGAGAACUACAGGACUUGAAUCUUGGUGGUGAUUUAGAGCUAUCUCGUCUUCAGUAUGCAACUGAAGUAGAUGCUAAAGCAUGCAGCCUUGGAAAUAAAGAUAAACUUACACAUUUAUCUCUUAAAUGGGGUGAUGACAGCACUGAUGAAUUGGGCCAGCACAGGAAUGUGCUUGAUGCUCUUAAACCUCAUGCUGCACUGGAGUUUCUAGGAAUACACUCCUACAGAGGUACUGGCUUCUCGGCAUGGGUGCUAAGUCUUAAUUUUCUGCAGCAUUUGACCGAGCUCCAGCUAGAUGGUUGUACAAUGUGUGAGGAAUUUCCCCAAUUCGGUGAAUUUAAGUCCCUUGAAGUUCUUGUUUUGAAAAGGUUGAACAAACUUCAAAGCCUAUGCAAUCACAAUUCAUCUGCAAUGUUUCCAGCAUUAAAAGAUCUCAGAUUAAAAAAAUUGGAGAUUUUUGAGAGAUGUGUGGCAACAGAAGGAGAAGAGUUAGCAUUUCCUCAGCUUGAGAAUGUUAAAAUUAAGGACUGCCCAAAGCUAGCAAUUCUGCCUGAAGCACCAAAACUCAAGUUUAUAGCUCUAAAAGAAGAAAAGGCACAGCUAUCCUUAUCAAUAUUUAAGUCCAGGUAUAUGGCUUGCUUGUCUGGGGUUGGCCUGUCCGUCAGUGAUGAUACAGAAGCAGCACCAGUAACAGAACUUGAUCAGGAUUGUGAAGUAUCUCUUUUGAACCUGCGGUUGGAUGGUUGCAACUUUUUGUUCUGCUCAACUCCGUUGCAGCCAACUGUUGGGGUCUGGAAAUGGUUUGGUCAGCUUGUGCAUUUGACUAUCGAAUCUUGUGAUAUGCUCAUCUACUGGCCUGAAGAAGAGUUCCGUUGCUUGGUAUCAUUGAAUAGUUUAUCCAUUAAUUCCUGCAGCAAGCUAGUAGGACACACCCAGGGGAAAGGAUGCCGUACUCAAGUAAGGGAUCAACUCCUGCCAAAUCUAAAAGAACUAACAAUAUAUCAUUGUGGAAGUUUGACAGAGCUUUUCGUUCUGCCGCCAUCUCUCACAAGUAUUGUUAUGAUGGAUUGCAACAGUCUUGAGUCCAUACUGGGGCAGGAUGAUACAGAGUUGGAGAGUAUACUACACUCUGAUACAGCAUCAUCAUCGGAACACUUCAAUGACCUCACGUCCACAUGUUUGCUAGAGCAGUCACUUUCACCCAGAAUUAAUCCUUUGCCAUGUCUUGAUUAUUUGCGUAUAAUUAGCUGUAAGAAGCUUCGUUUCAUGCCAGCGCAGUUAGAUGCACUCAUUUUUUUGGAUAUUCAUAAUUGCGAUGGGCUCGAGUCGCUGGAUUGUUUGGGAGACCUACCGUUACUGGAAUAUCUAUACCUUAAUAGAUGCAAACAUCUGGCAUCUGUACCAGGAAGUCUUGGGAGUUACUCGGCCCUUCAGAAGCUCCGCAUUGAAUACUGCCCAGCUUUAAAUAUGAAGCCACUUUAUGGACAUCUCCAACAACGGCUUGAUAGCCUUGAAUUGAAGGAUCUAUCUAAGGCUGGUUCAAGCUAUCCUAAUGAAGGGCCUAAACUACGGGAACCAAAAUGCUGGAAAUUCUGACAUUGUUCCUUCACUGUGCAAGCGCGAGUCUGCAUAGAGGUACAGAUACCAUGGUCGCUCGUGCGCAUACAAGUGAUGAACACAAUUGGUAACUGCCCUCUUCAAGGGAGUCAAGUUCUUUUAUUUGCCUGCUCCGUGAGCUCUGAUGAAAAUAAGGCGCCCGAAGGCCUGAAGCAUGGGGGAAAAUGAACUUCAACUUGCAGAACUGGAGAGAGAAGGUCGUGCUGAAUCGUGUUUACUUUGUGCAGAACAAACAAGCAUGUCCUUGGGCAAAUCGUGCGUGACUAUAAGUGCACUUGCAGUCGUGUGCUGGCGAUCGAGCCUUUUGUUUUCCAUGUGUACUUACAGUUCACCGUAGUAAUACGGUGUGCUAUUUCACAUCUUUUACAUAAUCUUUAGAGCAGAGCACGAUCCUGGUUAAUUCAGACCGCUGAUUAAUGCAGGCAGACAUCUGGUUAGUUCAGAGUUAGAGACAGCUGCUUAGUUGUCCGUGUGUUUAUGGCUGCUUCAGAGAGCUGAUUGUGUGCGUGCACGA